rnacentral:rRNA from 1 species
GACGAACGCUGGCGGCGUGCCUAAUACAUGCAAGUUGAGCGCUGAAGGUUGGUACUUGUACCAACUGGAUGAGCAGCGAACGGGUGAGUAACGCGUGGGGAAUCUGCCUUUGAGCGGGGGACAACAUUUGGAAACGAAUGCUAAUACCGCAUAAAAACUUUAAACACAAGUUUUAAGUUUGAAAGAUGCAAUUGCAUCACUCAAAGAUGAUCCCGCGUUGUAUUAGCUAGUUGGUGAGGUAAAGGCUCACCAAGGCGAUGAUACAUAGCCGACCUGAGAGGGUGGUCGGCCACAUUGGGACUGGGACACGGCCCAAACUCCUUCGGGAGGCAGCAGUAGGGGAUCUUCGGCCAUGGACGGAAGUCUGAACGGGCAACGCCGCGUGAGUGAAGAAGGUUUUCGGAUCGUAAAACUCUGUUGGUAGGGAAGAACGUUGGUGAGAGUGGAAAGCGCAUCAAGUGACGGUAACUACCCAGAAAGGGACGGCUAACUACGUG